rnacentral:lncRNA from 1 species
AGGAGUGCGCGACAGGGGCCGGUGGCUCCCGCGCUAUUGCAGGUGAGUCGGCGAGGCGUGCGUCGACCCUGGACGGUCUUCCGGAAGGGAGGAAACCCGGAGCCGGAGUAGGUGGAGACGGAGGAAGAGUGCUCCGCAUGCUGCCAUGUCCCCAUCAUGGCUGAAGGCAGAGGCAGCAGCACAGAGGAGCCUGGAGACAGGAAGACUGAAGGUCCCCUGGAGUCCCUCUGGAUCCUGCACAGAAAGAGGACACUAGGCAGAGAAAAGGAAGGGUGCCGCUUCCACCCAGAGCCACCUGCAAGGCCUGCCAGGCAGGGCCUUUCUAACAUGGAGAGCGUGAAGAAGAGCCGGGACAGUGAGCCUGGCACGUCUGGUCAGACAGGAAGAUGACUGUGAGGAAAACUGGUGGAGUGCUAAGUUGGGAAUGUCAUUUCUCCAGCAGGCUCACUUCUCUCAAGGUUGAGAGACAGAGAUGUUUGUAGAGUAGUGUAGGAAACUAUCUGUCCCCCACCCUAGCCCCCGUCCCUGCCUGGAAACCAUGACUCUAAAAGAAUAUGCGAGACAUUUCACCCCCUAUCCAACCAAAGGUCGGCUGUACAACCUUUCCAAAUGUCACUCCAACCACUGCUGGCAGAACCCCGGAGAUGCCAAGCACCUCGGUUCUGCUGUCGACUCUCACCCCAAGCUGCAGGGGGGUUUUGUUUGUUUUGUUUUUUGUCUUUUUUGUUUUUCUGCAGGAGCUAACGAAAUUCUUUGUGCACAGCCUGAGGAGUUGGCUUUCUGAGCCUUGGAGCUGCUGGUGUGGGACUCUGGUGUUUUUCCUGCCUUCCUGGGCUCCAAGACAUCCUAAGGAGAAAACCCCAUGCUCAGACACUUAGGCAGGACAGUUCCAGGACACUGGGAUUAAGCGGUGGUACCCGGCAGUUUCCUCAGACAGGUCGGGGCACUGCAUCCACUGCUGCUGUUAACCCGGGAGGUCCAGCGCCUGGCUCCUGGGGGUCCAGCUUGGCUGCCUUUUCCUAGGCCCCCCUCAGGCCUUGGCUCUUACAAUAGACUGCCACUUCUGGGA